rnacentral:snoRNA from 1 species
AUGAUCAUGUGUGCAUGGUUUUCGUCUGUGACUGAUAGCAGCAUUUGUCUGUGUUUUGCAUUCAGAUCUUGCUAUCCACACAAACAUCAUGCAGCCAAAGAGUAAGUUGGGAUCAUAGUACUGGUCUAUAGUGUUGUCUCUUUGGACCUGUCUACCAUUGGCCAGCCUCCAAAUUCCCAGACACAA